rnacentral:rRNA from 1 species
UACGUAGGGUGCGAGCGUUAAUCGGAAUUACUGGGCGUAAAGCGUGCGCAGGCGGUGAUGUAAGACAGAUGUGAAAAUCCCCCGGGCUCAACCUGGGAACUGCAUUUGUGACUGCAUCGCUGGAGUGCGGCAGAGGGGGGAUGGAAUUCCGCGUGUAGCAGUGAAAAUGCGUAGAUAUGCGGAGGAACACCGAUGGCGAAGGCAAUCCCCCUGGGCCUGCACUGACGCUCAUGCACGAAAGCGUGGGGAGCAAACAGG